CUAGUUUGAAUAGAAUAGAUAAAUACAAAGAUAGAUGGAUAGGUAGUUGGGCAAAUAAAUAGAUAAAUGAAUAAAAACAAACAUAAAAAAAAUGAAUGUACAUACAAACAUACAUUCAUACAUGGCUUGAUCCAAAACUGCCCUUUUAUACUAAAUUAUACUUUUAAAAAAUGUUCAGCUCUUCUUCGUGACCUGUUGGUUAACCAACAAAUCCUGUUGGACCAGCAAAAGGGCAUGAUUAGAAUGAUUCAAGACUCCACAGAUACAUCCAGGGAGGUCAGGGGAUAUCCACCCCUUCCAGGCAUACUGCCUAUUUCCCACUGGCUGAUCGACAGGCUCUGGAGGCCCUGGAGGGCGACCUGGCAAGCCAGCGGGACCUUCGUCAGGAAUUGGUCAUCAGUCUUGGAUUGGCAGGGGGAGCCGAUGUCAAAGACACAGUUUGGCACAUCCUAAAACAGGUCAUCAAAAAUGGCCGAGCUAAAACAAUCUCAUGGCGGGGGUUGCACGGAAAGAUUCCGUUUGAGAAACUGCAUCUGAAGGCAGCAGUGAUGGAUGCAGUGAGACGCAAUCCAGCCUGCUCAGUCGCUACAGAUGUACAGAUUGCAGAGGCUACCAAAAGAUGGUUUUACUGGGCUGGGGAUAGGGAGGGAGGGAGGAAAAACCGCCAGCCAGCCCCCAACCAUGGAG